rnacentral:rRNA from 1 species
GUGCCAGCAGCCGCGGUAAUACGUAGGUGGCAAGCGUUAUCCGGAAUUAUUGGGCGUAAAGCGCGCGUAGGCGGUUUUUUAAGUCUGAUGUGAAAGCCCACGGCUCAACCGUGGAGGGUCAUUGGAAACUGGAAAACUUGAGUGCAGAAGAGGAAAGUGGAACUCCAUGUGUAGCGGUGAAAUGCGCAGAGAUAUGGAGGAACACCAGUGGCGAAGGCGACUUUCUGGUCUGUAACUGACGCUGAUGUGCGAAAGCGUGGGGAUCAGACAGGAUUAGAU